AGAGGAAUAGCUGGGUCAAAUGGUGGAUCCAUUCCCAGUUUUACAAGGAAUUGCAAUACUGCUUUCCAGAAUGGUUGCAGUAAUUUGCAGUCCCACCAGCAAU
rnacentral:pre_miRNA from 1 species